CGUAGGGUGCGAGCGUUAAUCGGAAUUACUGGGCGUAAAGCGUGCGCAGGCGGUGAUGUAAGACCGAUGUGAAAUCCCCGGGCUUAACCUGGGAACUGCAUUGGUGACUGCAUCGCUGGAGUAUGGCAGAGGGGGGUAGAAUUCCACGUGUAGCAGUGAAAUGCGUAGAGAUGUGGAGGAAUACCGAUGGCGAAGGCAGCCCCCUGGGCCAAUACUGACGCUCAUGCACGAAAGCGUGGGGAGCAAACAGG
rnacentral:rRNA from 1 species